UAUAUAGAUAGAUGGGUGUGUGUGUGUGUGUGUGUGUGUACAGUAUACCUAUAAACUUUGAUUUUGAAGAUGCAAUCAGCUGGUCACCUGACCCGGAGGUCAAUGUUAGCAUGUUAACACAUGAAAUUUAUCAUGUGUUAAUUUUGUGUGUGUGUGUGUGUGUGUGUGUGUGUUAAGAGCGGAUUUGUCCCGAUAAUCAGGUCUGACAACCUUGAAUCACCGAAAAUACAUUUCUACGCCAAAGCCACUCGAGUCAUUUGACUCGCUAACGGAAUGUAGCCAAUCAGGGAAGCGCCCAGAAACAAAAGCAAAAUAUGCCCUAUUCAAGGUUGGUUGGGGUUUUUUGGGGGGGGGGGGG